GCUCUUUUCAUUUUGCAGAUUAAGAAACUAAAGAUCAGGGAAGUUAUCUGAUGUAACCCCAGCAUGAAAUUUUCUCAACAAUCCAGUCUCUUCAUUUCUGGUAAACCUCAUCCAAUUUCUUAUCAGAAAUGAUGGGAAAAUGAAGCUGGAUAUGUCUACAAAUCUGACUUCUUCGCUAAAAUAAUUUGAUCAAGCCUGAAUGAUACUGAAAUCUCCAAAGAGCUUCCAUGAUGUCCGAGCUGAAAAGAACUUUGGAAAAAUCAUCCAGCCAAAAUCCCUCAUCUUGUCGACGAGAAAACUAAAUGAGGUGAUUUGUCCGGGGUCAGCUAACUGACUGAUUAGUGGCAGAGCAGAGAUUAGAAUUUUCCCUAACUCAUGGUCUUUAAUAAAAAUUCAAACUGCUUCAAGAAACUAUCAAUUUUUUUUCCACCUGUCCUUUUAAAUGUUCCUUAAACUUUCCUCCAGGUCACAGAUGAUACCAGCUUAUUA